rnacentral:rRNA from 1 species
GACGAACGCUGGCGGCGUGCUUAACACAUGCAAGUCGAACGGAAAGGCCCUGCUUGUGUGGGGUGCUCGAGUGGCGAACGGGUGAGUAACACGUGAGUAACCUGCCCUUGACUUUGGGAUAACUUCAGGAAACUGGGGCUAAUACCGGAUAGGAGCUCCCGCUGCAGGGUGGGGGUUGGAAAGUUUCGGCGGUUGGGGAUGGACUGGCGGCUUAUCAGCUUGCUGGUGGGGUAGUGGCUUACCAAGGCUUUGACGGGUAGCCGGCCUGAGAGGGUGACCGGCCACAUUAGGACUGAGAUACGGCGCAGACUCCUACGGGGGGCAGCAGUGGGGAAUAUUGCACAAUGGGAGGAAGCCUGAUGCAGCAACGCCGCGGGCGGGAUGACGGUCUUCGGGUUGUAAAACGCUUUAGCCUGUGACGAAGCGUGAGUGACGGUAAUGGGUAAAGAAGCACCGGCUAACUACGUG